AACUUCCUUUUGUUCUUGUACGAUCCAUUACUUUCUCUUGAAUUUCCAAAUGAUUUGAAUUUGUUUGGUUGAGUAAACCCAAUGAACCCAACCUCUGCAUCAUAAAACAACAAAAAUAUAAUACAAAAAUUAAAACGCAAACAAUAAUAACAACAACAUACAACACAAAUUUUUUAACUUAUACUUAUACCCCAAGCACAUCACGGGUACAUUUCACGGAUAUCCUCUCAUACUCCUCAUCAUUCACCUUCUUUGGCUCCACCACAACCAUCAUCUCUUG
rnacentral:lncRNA from 1 species